CCUAAGCAAGCAAAACAGGUGAGAAGUGGUUUCAAUGGGACAGCAUCUCUGUCCCAAGUUGAGACACUCUCACACUGUACUCCCUCUUUUAAUGCACUUUAGACAUUGCACAUAACACACACACAAAAAAACAAAAAAAAUAAUUGAGAAGAUAGGGACUGAAGAGAUGUGGGGGAAGGUUAUCUUAUAUUAUCUUAUUAUGCCAUCUUCUAUCUUAGACAGUGUUGACAAUCGCAAUUGUUACAUAGGAGGAAGGAUGGAAAUAAAAAUCGACUAAUACAAUAUUGGCAGUGUGGUGGUAGUGGGGAGUGGAGGUGGUGAUGGUAAU